UAGUGGUAUUUAGUUCACUUUAAGCUUUCUUUGUCAUGAAGGAUGGUCUUUAUCGCCAAGUAGGGAUGGCAAAGUAGCCCAUAAAAACAUGACCCGCCCAACCCACUCAAGUUUGUGCAGGUCCUUAACCCGCUCAAAUUAGUUUCUCAACUCAUUUUGACCCGCCCAAUUCAGCCCAAAUUGACUCGAGAGAAAUCUUAUCAGAAUAUUUUUCAAAAGAGAUAUUCUUUUGUUAGACAUGUUAUAUAAGCCAUAGAAAAGAAAGAAUUUUUUUAUUAGGUACUUAAAAAAUAUGCCCCACUUUUGGGCAGGCUGGGCUAUGGCCCGUUUCUUAGCCCAU